rnacentral:rRNA from 1 species
GGAGUUAGCCGGUGCUUCUUCUGUGAGUGAUGUCCUUCCUGCCGGUUAUUGACCCGCAGGCCUUCUUCCUCACUGAAAGUGCUUUACAACCCGAAGGCCUUCUUCACACACGCGGCAUGGCUGGAUCAGGGUUGCCCCCAUUGUCCAAUAUUCCCCACUGCUGCCUCCCGUAGGAGUCUGGGCCGUGUCUCAGUCCCAGUGUGGCUGAUCAUCCUCUCAGACCAGCUACGGAUCGUCGCCUUGGUGAGCCGUUACCUCACCAACCAGCUAAUCCGACAUAGGCUCAUCCGAUAGCGCGAGGCCCGAAGGUCCCCCGNUUUCCCCCGUAGGGCGUAUGCGGUAUUAGCCUGGGUUUCCCCCAGGUUAUCCCCCACUACCGGGCAGAUUCCUAUGCAUUACUCACCCGUCCGCCGCUCGCCACCAGGGAGCAAGCUCCCCGUGCUGCCGCUCGACUUGCAUGUGUUAGGCCUGCCGCCAGCGUUCAAUCUGAGCCAGAAUCGAACCCUGA